GGGUACGUGGUGUAGUGGUAUCAUACCUGCUUUGGGUGCAGGUGGUCGGCGGUUCAAACCCGUCCGUACCCC